rfam:Lactobacillus pobuzihii strain NBRC 103219 NODE_133, whole genome shotgun sequence.
GGGGAUGUUUUGGAUUCGACAGGUAUAGGUCGAGCUUAAAUUGCGUUUGGUAGGUUGCGACUACCAUAAAACGCUCAGUUAAAAUAUAACUGCAAAAAAUAACAAUAACUCUUACGCUUUAGCUGCCUAGUCAGCUUUAACGUAGAUCCGGCCGGUAUCGCCUAUGUACCGAUCUCCGGGUCCUAUAAUAAGUAGGCUACGUCUUAUGUUUCCACCUGUAAUGUAAGAAAGAGAUGAUCAGGUUGGCUGUUAGUGCUUUGCCCUGACAUGCGGCGUGACUAAGAGCGAGAUUUAAAUAGCAUGAAUAUGAACGUAGAUGUUUAAGCGGCGAUAUGCUUGGACGCGGGUUCGACCCCCGCCAUCUCCACUU